rnacentral:lncRNA from 10 species
CAUUUUCCUAGCCCUCACUCAAAAUGGAGUCUCUUUGGUUCGAACACCUCUGACAAUAAUAGUACCAGUACUUGUGAAUCUUAAAAAAAAAAUUGUCAGGAGUGGAGAAGAAAUUUUAGGAGAGAAAAGAGAUGCUGAAUUGGCUUAGCAAAACUACAGCCUAUAAUUUUCUUUUUUUUUUCUUUUUUUUAGAGACAAGGUCUUGCUCUGUCACCCAAGAUGGAAUACAAAGAAAUGGCAUGAUCGUAGCUCACUGUAGCCUCAAACUCCUAGCCUCAAGCAAUUCUCCUGCCCCCGCCUCCAAGUAGCUAGGACUACAGCUCAUCUCAAUUUGAAACAGCCAUCUCUCAAGUACCCACUAGACACAUGUGGCUAACAGCAUUUUGGAUGGUGCAGUUCUGUAACAUUAAGUAAUAUGAGAGAAAUCCAAGACUUUACAUGAAGAUACAACUACAGAUUUUUAAAAGUCAAGAAAUUACUAUUUCCUACUAAUUAGAUCUGGUUAAAAUACAUUUUAUAAGCCUCAUACUUUCAUUUAUUGGUUUAUGUGUUUCCAAGGUAAAAAGCAAAUUGCAGAGACACUACUCUGAUGAAGUAGUUGGCUAUAUAAAAAGUAAUGCCCUAUACAUAGUCUAUAUGUGCUAAUCAGGUUGUACUUGAGGAUUACCUACAUCAGAAUCACUAAGGACAUUUCCUGAUAAAUGCUGAUAUUUUGGCUCCCAACUGUUAUUUUGUUUGUUGUUUGUUUCUGGAGUUUGAGCCUAAGAAUCUGUUAUAUAACUGUUCCCCAUAUGAUCUUCAUGCAUGUAAAUAUUUGAAAUAUAUGACUAUGUGUUAUAUUCUAUAUAGAAGUUAGUAAUAAUAACCAAUAAUCAAAAUAGCUUCAUUUUGCCUAACAAAUUAUAUAUAUAUAUUAUUUGACACAAUCAGAUAUAGAAAUUGUUUUCAGGUCUUGAAUAUCCUGUGUUAUUCUCAAGAAGAAAGACUCAGAUUCAUUCAUUUGGCAGACUUGAAUUAGUCAUUUAUUAUAGAGAAAAUCUAACCAGUAUUUUAAAAAACUAUUAAUCUAAUGAAUAAUAAGAAUAAAAAGAAAGAAAAGCUAAAAAAUAAAAAUAAGAAAAAAUAUGAAUAAAUCUAAGAAAGAUUUAAAAUGCAUGUGAUGGUAUAUGAACUGUUUUAGCUCUGAGGAUAUAGAAAUCUUUUUCCCCCUUUUUCCAGCUACAGAAAACAGGCAUUCAACAACUAUUUGUAUAAAUAUUUACUAUAAAGCAAAAAUAUGCAGACUAAUGCAAGCAUAAAAUAAGGGCAUCAGAGUGCAUUAUAGGUGAGGUGAUCAUAAAUGUUAUUCUGGAAAAGGACUCUGAGAAGAGACAUGAAUGAGGUGAGGGAGAAAAUCAAAUGAAAUCUGGAUAUCAGCAUAGCAGGCAGAGUUAAACAGGAUGUUCAAAGGCCUUAAGCUGAAAAUAAGUUUGUCCUGCUCAAGGAAAAAAUAACACCAGUGGGGCUCCAAAAGAGAAAGUAAGUAGGAGAUUGGCAGAAACUGAUAUAGAAGAAUUAGGCAGGAGCUAGAUUAUUUUGAUUCUUAUAACCAUGGUAGCAAUUUAGGAUGUUAUUCUCUGUAUUAGUCCAUUCUCACACUGCUAUAAAAAAACUUGCCAAGACUGGGUAACUUAUAAAGGAAAGAGGUUUAAUUGGCUCACAGUUCCAUAUGGCUGGGAAGGCCUCAGGAAACUUACAAUCCAAUCAUGGCAGAAGGCAAAGGGAAGGCAGGCAACUUCUUCACAAGGUGGCAGGAGAGAGACUGUCAGAAGGAGGAACUUGCCAAACAAUGACAUCAAAUCUCAUGGGAACUCAUUGACUAUCAUGAGAAGAGCAUGCAAGAAACUGCCCCCAUGUUUCCAUUACCUCCACCUGGUCUCCCCCUUGACACCUGGUGAUUAUGGGGAUUACAAUUCAAAAUGAGAUUUUGGGUGGGACACAGCCAAACCAUAUCAUUCUACCCUUGGCCCCUCCCAAAUCUCAUGUCCUCAUAUUUCAAAACACAACCAUGCCUUUCCAACAGUCUCCCAAAGUCUUAACUCAUUCCACCAUUAACUCAAAAGUCAUAGUUCAAAGUCUCAUCUGAGACAAAGCAAGUUCCUUUUGGCUAGGAGCCUGUAAAAUCAAAAUCAAGUUGGCUACUUCCUAGGUACAAGGGGGGUAUAACCACUUGGUAAAUAAAUACACCCAUUCCACCACCCACUCCAUGGGAGAGAUCUAAUUUACCUGCCCUUUCAUCUCAAGAAUAGUGGUGUAGGGUCAAAAGGAAUGUCCCUUUCACCCUCUGAAGAUUUGAUAAUUUGAGUCUAUAAAAUAAACAGAGAGUAGACAAAUUAAUACGGGAAAAACCCUUUUAAUUAUGUGCAUACAUACAAGAUUCCCACAAAAUACAAGACUCAAAAAAGGGUCAGAUUAAAGUUCUUAUAGCAUCAGAAUAGGAGCUUAGAGCUUCUGGUGUGAGAGGGUGACAAGCUAUGGGAGAGUGAAGGGAGAAAAUGCAAGGUGAACACAUGUUGUUUUGUCAUGCAUAUAAAGUCUCUCAGGUAAUAAAAGUUGUCUCAAAGAGGAACUGUCAGAAGAAUCUGGGUGGGAAAUUACCCUUUAGUCAGUCACUUCUAGUCUCUCCUCUUGUGAUAUGGUUAAUCUUCUCUACUUGGUUAGAUUCCAGGGAAGCAGGAUGGGAACAAAUGAGGUUCUUUCAGAUAAGGGGACUUCAAAGGAGGUCCCUGUCUGAAUUUGCUCUUUCCUAAGUUCUCUGUUUGAAGUAAUCAGCAUGCCAAACAAGCAUAUUGUGGGGUGAUAUUUCCUAGACUCCUUCCACUGAACUACACUGAUUGUAAUAUGUGUUAUUUCUACUUUUAGAAAAAAAAAAAAAAACAGUAGGCUAGAAUCUCAGUCCUGGCUGAGGACUCUGGAGGGCAACAGAAAUGAGAUUGCAAAUUACUUUGAAAAGACACUAAAAUUGAGCUACUGUUGCUUUAGAAUUAGCUUUCACUCUCAGCAUUGAUCUUUUCAUGAACAAGACAGGAGUUAUAUCAGAUAGACACAGAUGGCAAGGUGGUCAACUUAGACCAUGUCCAAUAGGACCAAACUAGCACAAAAGCAAAAAAAAAAAAAAAAAAAAAAAAAAAAAAUUCUGAGAUGCACUGCUGCUUUUAUGAAGCUUGCAGAGGGAAAUGCAACUGAUUAUCAAUGUUGAGUGUCUAUGAGGAGCCAAUAAAACUGGUUAUCAAAAGACUAUGCAAUAUUUAAAUAUCUGCCAGGCCCAGAGAGAGCAAGGACAACUUGUGAAUGUACAAAUUCAAGACUAUUCUUAUCGCCCUUACUUCUAUUUUCUCCCUAAGUCUCAACCAAAGAGAUGCCAGAAGAAUAUAUUAGUUGGUGUGUUGAGGGAGGAGCAGAAAAAAAGAGAGAAUGACCAUGCCAUCUUAUCCUUCUUGAAUUGGCCUAUCAAUACUAUUGUGAUGGUUAAUUUUAUGUGUCAACUUGACUGGGCCAAUGAAUGUCCAGAUAUUUAGUCAAACAUUAUUCUAGGUAUGUCCAUGAGGGUGUUUGUGGAUGAGAUUAACAUUUGAAUUAGCAGACUAAGUACAGUAGAUUGCCGUCCUUAACAUGGUUGAGUUUCAUCUAAUCAAUGGAAGAUCUAAAUAGAACACAAAGAUUGAGUAAUAGGGAGUUUCUCCUGCCUGACUGCCUUAAGCCAAAACAUUAGUUUUUUUUUUUUCCUAUCUUUGAACACUUCUUUGAACUGAAACAAAUUCCUCUCUUAGAUAUCAAGGCUUUUAGACUGGAGUUACACCACUGGCUCUCCUGGACCUCCAGCUUGCCAACUCACUCUGAAGAUCUUGGGAACUCUCAAACUCUAUACUCAAUUGAAUUGAUUUUUUUAUAAUAAAUAUGACUAACACAACUGUAGAGGAGAUUUGUUGUUGAGUGUAAGAUUUGUACUAUUAUUGGGAUUGUUAAUUGUGAUUCCUGAUUUGAGCUGGUAUUGGUGUAACCGAGCCUAUGUUAUAAAAAUCAUAAGGUGUUUGUUUUACUUAUUUUCCUUCUCAUCAUUUUCAUCCUCUGGGCAUGAUAGCUUGCACUUAGUCAUUUUAGUAGAGGGUAGUCACUACUAAUUGAUCAACAUUACACCCUGACUCCCAGGGGGUGCCCACAAUAUUAGUGAGUUUGUUUUUCUUUCAAAUAAUAAUGAUACUUAGGUCAUGUAAACUUCUUUGAUAACAUCCUGAUGUUCAAUUGGCAAAGUAACAAAAGAAGCUUUGAUCACUGGGAUCCCACCUCUUGCAUACCUACCUUACUCAUAAAAGCUCUCAGUUAUGUUGAAAGGCAGAUUGGAUCUGAGAAUUUGCCUUUACCACUCUCACACUUGGGCCAAAUGGAAUAAACAUUUAUCUGCUCUUAAGCACUGAUGUGUAAGUAUUUGACUAACUGCACAUCAGGUAUUUGAACCUAGCUUUUGAAGUUCUACAGCUUUGGGACCUAAAAUAACCACAGGUCUGUAUAGGACAUUCUAGUUCCUAACACUAAACUGAAAAUUCAUGGAACUGGAUCUCAUUUCCAUUCAAGGCUAGAGAAGACCCUUAAAGGAAUAGUACAGGACAAAACCAAAGUUGCCUUAUAAUUAUAUUUUAUAGAUUGAACUAACACUUACAAAGGGAUUAAUUUUAGUAAUAGUGUUUCAGUGAAAUUAAUCUGAGUAUGAGUAGAAAUGAAAACUGAAGUAGGGUAAGUGUCAAUGAAAGAUGAGUAGAGCCAGUAUAAUUUUAAAAACAUGAAGAAAGAUACUACUAGCAGAAGUGAAAUGAAAAGAAAAAGGUCAGAAUCAUUUAGUGGAUAACCUGAAAUCAAGAUUUGGGAGGCAGUACAAUUCCCAUUAGUAAUAAAGGCUAGCAUGAAAUGUUGGUAGGAUAGCUGAGAUUAAGUGGAAGAAAUGAUCAUGUGAGUGAGGAGGCUGAGCAACUAAGAGACAAGGUUUCUGGGCUGACUACUGAUAUAGAUGUUAAUAAAGAAUGAUGGUGUCAGUGUUGUUGCAGAGGCAGAACUUGAGCCAGGUGUCAAAAUCCUCAGUGAAUGACAGAGAAGGAGCAGAAUUAGGGAGAUGAUUACAACAAAGAAAGGUAGAUGGUAAUACAGUAUGAUCACUCACUUUUGAAAAGCUAAUUCUAACUUUGGGUUCCAUAAUUUUUAUUUCAGAAGUGAUUUAAUAAACCCUGCAUUAGUUUUCUAGGACUGCUAUAUAAUAUACCACAGACUGCAUUGUUAAAAAUAACAGAAAUGUAUUCUCCCACACUAUUGGAGGCUAGAAACCCAAAAUCAAGGUGUUGUCAGGGCCAUACUCACUCGAAAGCCUCCAAGGGAGGAUACUUCCUUGUCUUGUCCAGCUUCCAGUAGCUCCACGUAUUCCUUUACUUCUGGCAGUACAACUUCAAUCUCUGCCUCCAUCCUAACAUGGACAUCUUUAUAGGCCAUUUUCCCUGUGUGGAUCUGUCCAAAUUUCCAUCUUCUUAUAAGGACAACAGUUUUAUUGUAUUAUGGCCCAUCCUGAUCAUCUGAUCUUAACUAGAUUUCAUCUGUAAAAAAGCUAUUUCCAAAUAAGUUCACAUUCACAAAGGUUAGGGCUUCAACAUAUUAUUUUUGAGAAACACUGCUGUUGUCAGAAUGUUUUUUUCCACUCAAAAUUUAUAUGUUGAAAUUCUAACCCCCAAGAUGGUGAUGUUAAGAGGUGGGACCUUUGGGAGGUGAUUAGGUCAUGAGGGUAGAGCCACCAUUUACUUCCUUAUAAAAGAUGUUCAAGGGAGCCAUUUGCCCUGGCCACCAUGUGAUGAAAGUGAGAAGGUGGCAUCUAUGAACCAGAAAGUGACCCUCACCAGACAUGGAAUCUGCCAGUAUCUUGAUCUUACAAUCCCAGCCUCCAGAGCCAUGAAAAAUAAAUUGUUUAUUAGCUAUCUAGUUUAUGGUAUUUUGCUAUGGCAGCCCAAAAUAACUAAGACAGACACAAUUCAAUCAAUAACAAACCCCAAGCCUCAUAUACAUUAGAUUUUUUUAAGAAAUUAGCAUCCAAGAUGAACCAUAGGUAGAUUGGAUUAAGCAUCAAGUACCCUAGAUAUAAUGGCAGGA